CAGAGUGGGAAGUGAGAGCUGGGAGCAGCAGCCCCCUCUGCAGUCCGAGGGGUAGCUGGAUCACCAGCUGGGGAAGGUCAGCCCCCAGGGCAGCAAGGCCUCCCUGCGAGUGGUAAAAUAAGGCCCUGCCCCAGUUCUCCAAAGGACUCUAUAUAUGAGGAACUGUGUUCUUGCAGGAAUAACAAAGCAGACGUGAAGGCAAAGCUGUUCUUAUUUUAGCACUUUCAUUUUUUUCAAAGCCAUUCCUUUCCCCACUAGUUGUAAGUUCUUCCUGCCAGCACCUUUGAGAGGCAGAUCUAUAACCACAGCCCCAUUUUAGAGAAACAAAGACUGCUGCUAAAGGUCAUGGAAAUUAUGGUUAGAGACAGGCAUCUUUAGAAAUUUUGUAUAAAGCUCACCCAUCCCUUAACUCAAGUUUCCAAAGCAGAAUGUGACAAAUUUGCUCAUUCCCCAGGAUAUCUUGGCCUUCAGACAACUAAGAUAUCUCUUUACGCAGUAUGACAAUACAAUCCUUCCUUUUCCUGCCUUUGAGUUAAGACUUCUUUAAGAAAUUCAUCUUCCAUUUUUGCACUUUUAACAUGUUGUUCCAAAUUCCUAAAGCAUCUUUUAGAAAUAAUGAAUGGGUAGCUUUUCCAAGUGUAAGAGAUGAACAGGGUGGGCUAGCCUGUCUGCUAGGACCAGGC
rnacentral:lncRNA from 1 species